rnacentral:rRNA from 1 species
AUUGAACGCUGGCGGCAUGCCUUACACAUGCAAGUCGAACGGCAGCACGGGUGCUUGCACCUGGUGGCGAGUGGCGAACGGGUGAGUAAUACAUCGGAACAUGUCCUGUAGUGGGGGAUAGCCCGGCGAAAGCCGGAUUAAUACCGCAUACGAUCCACGGAUGAAAGCGGGGGACCUUCGGGCCUCGCGCUAUAGGGUUGGCCGAUGGCUGAUUAGCUAGUUGGUGGGGUAAAGGCCUACCAAGGCGACGAUCAGUAGCUGGUCUGAGAGGACGACCAGCCACACUGGGACUGAGACACGGCCCAGACUCCUACGGGAGGCAGCAGUGGGGAAUUUUGGACAAUGGGCGAAAGCCUGAUCCAGCAAUGCCGCGUGUGUGAAGAAGGCCUUCGGGUUGUAAAGCACUUUUGUCCGGAAAGAAAUCCUUGACUCUAAUACAGUCGGGGGAUGAUGGUACCGGAAGAAUAAGCACCGGCUAACUACGUG